UACGUAGGGGGCAAGCGUUGUCCGGAUUUAUUGGGCGUAAAGAGCGUGUAGGCGGCUAUACAGGUCCGCUGUGAAAACUCGAGGCUCAACCUCGAGACGUCGGUGGAAACCGUAUGGCUAGAGUACGAAAGAGGGUCGCGGAAUUCCCGGUGUAGAGGUGAAAUUCGUAGAUAUCGGGAGGAACACCGGUGGCGAAGGCGGCGACCUGGGUCGAGACUGACGCUGAGGCGCGAAAGCGUGGGGAGCAAACAGG
rnacentral:rRNA from 1 species